rnacentral:rRNA from 1 species
UAAUACGUAGGGUGCGAGCGUUGUCCGGAAUUAUUGGGCGUAAAGGGCUCGUAGGCGGUUUGUCGCGUCGGGAGUGAAAACCUUGGGCUUAACUCAGGGCUUGCUUUCGAUACGGGCAGACUAGAGGUAUGCAGGGGAGAACGGAAUUCCUGGUGUAGCGGUGAAAUGCGCAGAUAUCAGGAGGAACACCGGUGGCGAAGGCGGUUCUCUGGGCAUGAUCUGACGCUGAGGAGCGAAAGUGUGGGGAGCGAACAGGAUUAGAUACCCUGGUAGUCCACACCGUAAACGUUGGGCGCUAGGUGUGGGAUCCAUUCCACGGGUUCCGUGCCGCAGCUAACGCAUUAAGCGCCCCGCCUGGGGAGUACGGCCGCAAGGCUA